GGGGGGGGGGGGGGGGGGGGGGGGGGGGGGGGGGGGGGGGGGGGGGGGGGUGGGGGCGGGGGGGUAGGGGGGGCGGGUGGCGUGGGGGGGGGGAGUACAUCGGCGUCGGCUGUUCCGGGGGGGAGGACGUGGGGAAACUGACGCUAAUGGCGCAUACGGCCUACGGGUGAUAGCAUGGGGGCUUGGGACGUUGAGAGAUGUAGCGACCCGAAGUCUGAUUAGCUAGGGGGCGGGGUAAAGGCCCACCAAGGCGCCGAUCCGUAGCUGGUCUGAGAGGAUGAUCAGCCACACUGGAACUGAGACACGGGCCAGACUCCUACGGGAGGCAGCAGUGGGGAAUAUUGGACAAUGGGCGCAAGCCGGAUCCAGCCAUACCGCGUGGGUGAAGAAGGCCUUCGGGUUGUAAAGCCCUUUUGUUGGGAAAGAAAAGCAGCAGGUUAAUACCCCGCUGUUCUGACGGUACCCAAAGAAUAAGCACCGGCUAACUUCG
rnacentral:rRNA from 1 species